GCAGUAUUGCGCUUGCUACAGUAAGCCUCCCUGCGUGUGGUAAAAAUCAAUGUAUUACUUGCGUGUAUGUUCUGUACUGAAAUUGCGGGUGGUAGGUUGUGCGAGUUUGUGUUCUUCCUGACCGGCAUCUAAAAAUUCUUAUUUACUAUUGAGUUAGCUUAACUAAAGAUACAGUAACUCUAAGAGCCUCCCCAGCUAACAUUAAUAAUUCAGUAGGACUUUACUGUAUCAUACUAACGUCACUCCACGUUACCAGAAUCAAUGUCUGCUUUUCUUGUCAGCAGAUGAUGGGUGAGGAUAGUGCCACAUACAUAAAGCAGAGGGUGAAGAGGUUGAGACAAACAGAGUAGCAGAGCAUUAUAUAGAGUUCCAAGAACGUCUGCCAGCCAGGGCAAGUAGCUGUUUUAUAUGCUGCGAAGUGGUGGGAACAGCAGCAGCACUCAUGACUGCC